AACGAACGCUGGCGGCAGGCCUAACACAUGCAAGUCGAGCGCAGUCCUUCGGGACCGAGCGGCGGACGGGUUAGUAACGCGUGGGAACUUACCCCUUUCUACGGAAUAGCCUCGGGAAACUGAGAGUAAUACCGUAUAAGCCCUUCGGGGGAAAGAUUUAUCGGGAAGGGAUUGGCCCGCGUUAGAUUAGAUNGUUGGUGGGGUAAUGGCCUACCAAGUCUACGAUCUAUAGCUGGUUUUAGAGGAUGAUCAGCAACACUGGGACUGAGACACGGCCCAGACUCCUACGGGAGGCAGCAGUGGGGAAUCUUAGACAAUGGGCGCAAGCCUGAUCUAGCCAUGCCGCGUGUGUGAUGAAGGUCUUAGGAUCGUAAAGCACUUUCGCCAGGGAUGAUAAUGACAGUACCUGGUAAAGAAACCCCGGCUAACUCCGUGCCAGCAGCCGCGGUAAUACGGAGGGGGUUAGCGUUGUUCGGNAAUUACUGGGCGUAAAGCGUACGUAGGCGGAUCA
rnacentral:rRNA from 1 species